UUUGAAAACAGACGCACUUAGGUUAUAUUGUCUCACCGUAAUUGAGACCCAUUCUGAAACUGUGUUCGAAGUCUCAAAGCAGAUUUGGCGAGAUUUCGAUUAUUUUCUGCAAUGAUUCGGUCAAAUUUUGGUAUGGUUAUGGAUCUUGCACUAUAUUUAUUGGAUGCAAACAAUGAUGUAUGUAUUGUGUACACGUGUAAACGAAUAUCUACACAGAUCAUUUUUUGCUGCUUAAAAACCCAUCGAGAUCAGCAUGUUAUACGAAUUUGAAUCAAUGACAAAGUGAAGAGGGAGAAAAGAUACAAAAAGAAACACAUACACAAUUAAAAAGGCAUUCAUUCGAAAAGAAGAGAUGCGGAACGUCAAUCAGAGGUGUUUUAUUACACUUGGACGAUGUGCCAAACCAAAAGUAUCAAUUGAAUAAAAAAAAAUAACGCUACGAAUAAAUUUAAAAAUUCAAACGGCAUUGUGGCAUUCUUUACUAGAAAUAAUAAAUCCAAAUCUUACAGAGUGAAAUAAAAUAAAUGCCACUAUUAUAAAAUCAGUGGCUAUCUCAGCAGACCAACGGUUGAAGAUUAGGUUGAAGUUGAAUUUAUCAAUUUUCUCAAUGAUGAUUGAAUACAACGUAUUCACAUCGCGAAAAAAAAAACCAUAUUCAGAAUAUUUACAUGGGAACAUUUAGAACAGCAUUUCGUUUGGUCGACCGAGUAAAUUAUCAAACGAUGAGAUAAGUCGCUGUAUGUUUGUGAUCACAUUCAAUUAACUGAACAAAAGCGUUAUUCAUGAAUGUCAACAAAAGAGCCGCAAUAUUGCCGAUUGAAGGGAAAAAAACUGAAAAGAGUGUGCCUUUUCGGGGCUUUCGGUAUGAUUACGUGCGUUCCCAUUUUCGGAUUUUGUAGAUAAACUGGGAACGAGAAGAAAUUCGGCAUACCCAUAUACAAGCCAUCAGCUGCUUCUGAAGAAAGUGAAACGACACUGGAAAAAAAGUCGAAAAGAAAGCCCAAAUAACAACACAGGCAUGACACAUUCACUUUUAUUUACACAAGAAAAGGCUUAAUACACACACACAAUAAACAUAAUUCAAAUGAGAAGUUCAAAAUUAACCCACAACAGAUUUUUUUUCUUCUUCUUAAGGUACUGCUCAUGAUGAUUGCCAACAAAAAAUUUGUUAACAAGAUACUUUCAAAAACGACGAUAAGCAUAGUCAAAGAGGUUGAUAGUGAAAAAGUGCUACAGAAGAGCAGCAGCAGCAGCAGCAACAGCAGCAGAAGAAGAAGAGACCGCAAUGACGGCACAUUUGUACUUUGAUAUGUGUAUUUGCGUUAAAGCCCGUUACCUUUUCGUUUGUAGUAAGAUGAGAAAGGCGAAGAGAGUGAGAUGAUGGCAAUGACAAUAACGUCACAUGAAAAAAUAAAUCGGCACACGUUCGUUUCAUAUAAUGAUGACCCCAUUAAACGAGCAAACUCACAAAUUUGGCAUGAAAAAGACAGAAAAAACAACAAAAAUUUGACACACAAUGAGUUGGCAAAGUGCGAGGGGAAAAAUCAGGACAGAAAUUUCACGGGCAAUCAAUCGUUGAAAUGAGUUCACAAUAUUGUAGAAUAUAAUCGUAAAUUGCGUUGAAGCCAUGUAAAUUGAUGAAUUGAACAAAAUGAAAUCUAAAAAGGAGAAAGAGAAAGAGAAUAUUACGCACUUUGAUUAAUGUGAUCAUCAAUAUUAAACAUGUCCAAUCAAAUCUUUUCAAACGAGAGUCUCUAUUCGGCUAUUUUUGAUGUAUAUGGAUGUGUAUGUAUUUGUCUAACUGAAUAUGAAGAAAAAUUAAUAAACUCAUUUUAAAUAGG